ensembl:lincRNA Gm42831 predicted gene 42831
UGGUCUACAGCCUUGGGAGAAAAAGAGAAAAGCUUAGAGCCAGGCAUUGUAGACCAUGCCAUUCAUCCGGCAUUCAGAAGACAGAGCCCUGAAGAUCUCUGAGUUCAAGGUCUUGCACUUAAUGUGAUGGUGGCCAGCAGCAACUACAUCUGUAGAACUGUGAUAAAACAGGUCUGCUUUAUAAAUGUAGGAACCACUUCCUCUGAACAUUCUUUCUGCUAACUUCUUUGAUCUUCUCCAUCCUUCAAGAGAAGAUGAUGAAGACCGAGAUGAUUUCA